CAGUCGCCGCGGUAAUACGUAGGGUGCAAGCGUUAAUCGGAAUUACUGGGCGUAAAGCGCACGUAGGCGGCUUUGUAAGUUAGAGGUGAAAGCCUGGUGCUCAACACCAGAACUGCCUUUGAUACUGCAUCGCUUGAAUCCAGGAGAGGUGAGUGGAAUUCCGAGUGUAGAGGUGAAAUUCGUAGAUAUUCGGAAGAACACCAGUGGCGAAGGCGGCUCACUGGCUCAUACUGGACGCUGAGGUGCGAAAGCGUGGGGAGCAAACAGGAUUAGAUACCCGGGUAGUCCCUGUCUCUUAUAC
rnacentral:rRNA from 1 species